GGGGGCGACCUGGCUUCGACGUGGGUUGCGAAACCGGAAGUGCAUGCCGAGAAUGAGAACUCUCGUAAAUCAGACUCAAAAAAUAUAAAUGCAAACGAUGCAAACUUCGCUGAUAACGUUGAUGGAGCAAUUGCUGCUUAAUCAAUAGUUAAAAGCAACGUGUACUGGCCUAAACCCCGGUGCCCCGUUGACCGAGCUCGCUUAUUGGUAUCGAAUCAACGGUCAUAGAAGAUAAGCUAGCUUCUUAAUGAAUCCCGAGUUAAGACGCGAAAUUCAGGGAAUCGCUGUGUACCAUCCUGCCCGUCGGAGUGUCCACAGUUAAACCAAAAGACAAGGCUACGCAUGUAGAGCUAAAGGCAGAGGAUUUGCGGACGCGGGUUCGAUUCCCGCCGCCUCCACCA
rnacentral:tmRNA from 1 species